GACGAACGCUGGCGGCGUGCCUAACACAUGCAAGUGGAGCGACGAACCAGGCUUCGGCCUGGGGCAAAGCCGCGAACGGGUGAGUAACACGUGGGUAACCUGCCCUGAUGAUUGGGACAACCCGAGGAAACUCGGGCUAAUACCAAAUGUGCCCUUCGGCCACAAGGCCGCUGGGGAAAGGAAGCUUCGGCCUCCGCAUCUGGAUGGGCCCGCGGCCCAUUAGCUUGUUGGUGGGGUAACGGCUCACCAAGGCGACGAUGGGUAGCUGGUCUGAGAGGACGAUCAGCCACACUGGGACUGAGACACGGCCCAGACUCCUACGGGAGGCAGCAGUGGGGAAUCUUGCGCAAUGCGCGAAAGCGUGACGCAGCAACGCCGCGUGGGGGAAGACGGCCUCGG
rnacentral:rRNA from 1 species